AGUGAACGCUGGCGGUAGGCCUAACACAUGCAAGUCGAACGGCAGCACAGUAAGAGCUUGCUCUUACGGGUGGCGAGUGGCGGACGGGUGAGGAAUACAUCGGAAUCUACUUUUUCGUGGGUGAUAACGUAGGGAAACUUACGCUAAUACCGCAUACGACCUACGGGUGAAAGCAGGGGAUCUUCGGACCUUGCGCUCUUGAAUGAGCCGAUGUCGGAUUAGCUAGUUGGCGGGGUAAAGGCCCACCAAGGCGACGAUCCGUAGCUGGUCUGAGAGGAUGAUCAGCCACACUGGAACUGAGACACGGUCCAGACUCCUACGGGAGGCAGCAGUGGGGAAUAUGGGACAAUGGGCGCAAGCCUGAUCCAGCCAUACCGCGUGGGUGAAGAAGGCCUUCGGGUUGUAAAGCCCUUUUGUUGGGAAAGAAAAGUAGCAGGUUAAUACCCCGCUGUUCUGACGGUACCCAAAGAAUAAGCACCGGCUAACUUCGUG
rnacentral:rRNA from 1 species